GAAGGUUAUGCAAAGUUUGUAGAUUUAUGCUGGAAUGGACUCUGUGCUUGAGAACAUUUACAACCCUGGUAAUAUUUAAACAUGCUUUAUGUUUACAGCUCAUUUAUUACUCAGCCAAGACAUUUAGAUUCUCAUUUGGUUCUUAGUGAAGUUUAACUUUAGACCUUUUGUGAAAGUGAAAGUAUUCAGUAAUUUGUGAAGACUGUGUAAUGUUUCAAACUGACCUUUGAACCUUUGACCUUUUUCCCCCUAUUAUUCUGAUUCAAAUGCUUUUUUGGGUUUGCAUGUUUGUCACUUUCAUUGUGCUGUUGUCCAGUGUGUUUUAUUGAAAUGUAUGUCUGUUGUUUGUGUCCUCUUGUUCUUCAACCACAGCUUCAUCAUGUUUGUUGUCUCAAUGUGUUUGAAUCAGCUGGUAUUGCUAGCCUUUUCCAAAUGUCCUUCCUUUAAUACUGUAUUUUUAUGUGUUGCUGUCUGACUGUUUUUAAAUUUUAUAUUUUAUUAUUUCUCCCAAACAUACUUGUGUUGUGAACAAGUAGGCCUAAUAAAAUUCCUCAUUUUUUUCUGUUCUUUUUAAUCUUUAUAAUAAAUCAUUACAGCAUAAUGUAGAACGAAAUUUUAAUUGUAAUAGAUGUACUGCACAGGCUUUCAGAAUUGACAAAUCUGUGGCCAGUUGGCGUAGAAGUCACAACUUAAAGGGAUAGUUUAAGAAACUGAACAUUAUUUACAACAUCAUUAGCUGUAAUCCAGAGCAUGCAGGCAAACAAGGAAAUGUGAAUACUUUUUGGACAGUUUCUUUCUUGUUCACAUUUACAUAACAUAACAUAACAUAUAUAAUUUUGCAUUAAGGUUCCCGUUAUAAAGUAACCAAUUUACAAAUAACUAAUAACUCACUUACAAAUGCAUUAUAAAUCAUUCAUAAACUGUUAAAAAUGCAUGAAUAAAAAUGUAAUAUCUGCCAUAUAGUGAGCCAUUUUUAACUCACGUGUUAUGAAUGCUUAAUAAAUACAUUUAGUCACACUUUUUUUCACUCAAAACCAGUCUCCUGAUUUAUUUCAUGAUACAGCAAAAAUAGACUAUUAUAGCAAGACUGAAAGGUGUUGUAUUUAUGUUUUUCUCAUUCAUUUCUCAUGACUCAUGUCACUUUUCUUACUAUUGUUGGGGAUCAGACCUGAAUCAGAUGCUUUAAGAUUCGAUCGAGAGCAUGGUUGAAACAUGAGGAGCCGAAUUCCACAGAAAGACUCAAGACACAGGAUGUUCGUAAAUCCAAUCCUCGCGUGAGCCAGUCUGAAGCAAGCUUUCCAACCAACUCCUACACAGGAUAGCUUUCAACAUCUACACCAUUAGGAAACAUUAACGAUUCCAACUCAGAAAAGAGACUGUCAAAUUUGGGCCAAGUAAUUAAAAUUGAUGAUCAAAGAGAUGCACAGCAUGACCAUCACAUGAAGAAAAGAGCCUAGAAGAAAAGAGCCAGGCUGAAAUUCCAAAGAAGACCUUUUAACCUUUCUUGUCUUCAAAGAACAUAUCCUUACUCCACAGAAUGGCAUAGAAACGGCCUUUCCAUGUAUAUAUGCACCUAAAUGACGCUAAAAAGGACUUUUAUGAGCAACUAAUCAUUUCCUU
ensembl:lncRNA